AUAGGCCGAUUGGCAGAGUGGUUAUGCGUCUGAUUUACAUAAUGUGCUAUUUUCUGCGAUAAUCAGAAAACCUUGAGUUCGAUCCUCAGGCCUAUG